CUUUAGCAGCUGAAUGUCUCAGCCUUGCAUGAGGGCAAGGACAAAUGCCCUGCACUCACCCUUGGCCCGAUGCAGUGAAUACAUAUGUGACUGUGACUUUUCAGAGAAGAAAACUGAGGCUUACAGAAGCUCUGUGUGAUCACAUUUCCACAAUUCACAGUCUGAGAACUUAAGAUCAGCCUACAGGCAGCCCAUUCCAGUCAGUUUGAGUGCCCACCAUUUCUCUCCCUCCAGCCUCUACGUCUGUGUUGAUGCUGUACUGAAUGUGUGUUUCCUGCCUUUCAAUCUCUUACAAUUCUUCUAUCCUACAAUGCACAUACAUA